GUUCCCAUGCCGAACACGGAAGUUAAGCUCUUCAGCGCCGAUGGUAGUUGGGGGCUUCCCCCUGUGAGAGUAGGACGCCGCCAAGC
rnacentral:rRNA from 1 species